rnacentral:lncRNA from 1 species
GGAACAUUGUGUGAUAUGUCUCUUGGAACAAGUUGUCGAAACCAACGAUCAUCCAACAUAUCACAUUCGCUUGUGUACUAUAUAACCUAACCAUCUAUACGCUGUGUGAAAUAGUAAACAAACACAUUUACAAACAUUGUUGUUGUUAUUGACAUCAUAGCUUGCGGUGGUGAUCCUCGUCGUUCUCCUUAGGGUGGAGGGUAUGGAUCAAUCACUCUAGGGUGUUUGAGUUAUUCUCUACCCAAUAAUAGCAUGCCAUAUCAAGUCCUCAUUCCACUCCUCAUUUUGCACUCAAUCAGAGGGGAGGAUGUGGAGCAAUAAAAGCAACAAGAUCUUAAAUAUGAACUUAUACGUGAAUAUGUAUGUUAUAAGUUGAUGUUGUGACUUGUGUAUUGAAGUGAUGCAUUGCAUUGUAAAAGGGCAUGUAUGUUUAUGUAACAUUUACUUAUGUAUUAACUGGAAUAAAAUUGAUACGCGAGCAAAAUCAGUUACAU